rnacentral:rRNA from 1 species
GUUCAGAACGUCGUGAGACAGUUCGGUCCCUAUCCGUCGUGGGCGUAGGAAAUUUGAGAGGAGCUGUCCUUAGUACGAGAGGACCGGGAUGGACAUACCUCUGGUGUACCAGUUGUCGUGCCAACGGCAUAGCUGGGUAGCUAUGUGUGGACGGGAUAAGUGCUGAAAGCAUCUAAGCAUGAAGCCCCCCUCAAGAUGAGAUUUCCCAACUUCGGUUAUAAGAUCCCUCAAAGAUGAUGAGGUUAAUAGGUUCGAGGUGGAAGCAUGGUGACAUGUGGAGCUGACGAAUACUAAUCGAUCGAAGACUUAAUCAAAUU